GGUUAACUUAUCUUUCUUUUUCCGGACAGAACUGCCCCGGCUGGUUCUGUGUUUUGCAUCUACCAGGGGAUGUGGAGGUGAUGACGCACAGUCCCAUAUCUCCAGCUCUGAUCGCUGGGAUUCAGCCGAUAUACGCAGAGUUCCCAGAAACUGCAAGUGGGUUUUAAUUUCAUUCUCUGGAACUUUCCAAUCCACACCAGCUGUGUCUACGUCUCUGCCUUUCCUUAGAUACGGGAUUUGAUUCCUGGAUCGCAACACCAUGCGGUGUGGCUGUGCAUUGGGGAUUCUGCUGGUGUGCAUCUCUGCUGUGCAUCUUCUCUCUGGGAGCAGUGAAGCAACAGAGAGCAUUUCAUUAAUCCAGGAUGCUGCUCGCCUUCAUGACUUGCCUGGUGGGGGCGCCCUGGCCAGGGACACGGGGAAGAGGUCAGCGGUGAGGCGUGGCCACCAUCUGUGGAAAUAUCUGAGGAAGGGAAGGUAGAGCGACGCCCUCGGCCCCCUACUGGCUAUGAGCGGAAUUGCAAGUAUAACAUUUGCAGGCGAGGAGGGAACCACACAGCAAUUUAUAUGAAAUAAACUGCUGACCUCAGAGAGCCGUGCUACUUUCUGGAAUGGAAUUCAUAAUAUCUGUGUGAUCUUAAAUCUGCCUCCUAUUAAUGUGGCAAUGGCUCCUUUUCUUCCCGAUGUUUGAUCCUGAGCACACACGCACCUGUAUAAUAAUGC
ensembl:lincRNA